rnacentral:tRNA from 1 species
AGGCACGUAGCUCAGUUGGUUAGAGCCCCACCUUGACAUGGUGGGGGUCGUUGGUUCGAAUCCAAUCGUGCCUACCA